GAAGGUAUAGCUCAUUGGUACAGUAAUGCUUAGCACGCACAAGGUCCUGGGUUCAAUCCCCAGUACUUCCA
rnacentral:tRNA from 1 species